rnacentral:rRNA from 1 species
GAUGAACGCUGGCGGCGUGCCUAAUACAUGCAAGUCGAGCGAACAGACGAUGAGCUUGCUCCUCUUACUUUAUCGGCGGACGUGUGAUUAACACGUGGAUAACCUACCUAUAAUACUGGUAUAACUUCGGGAAACCGGAUCUAAUACCGGAUAAUAUAUUGAACCGCAUGGUUCAUUAGUUAAAUACGGUUUUUCUGUCUCUUAUAGAUGGUUCCUCGCCGCAUUAGCUAGUUGGUAAGGUAACGGCUUACAAAGGCAACGAUGCGUAGCCGACCUGAGAGGGUGAUAGGCAACAAUGGAAGUGAGACACGGUCCAGAAUACUACGGGAGGCAGCAGUAGGGAAUAUGCCGCAAUGGGCGAAAGCAUGACGGAGCAACGCCGAGUGAGUGAUGAAGGUAUUAGGAUCGUAAAACUCUGUUAUGAGGGAAGAAAAAAAGUGUAAGUAAAUAUGCACGUAUUGACGGUAACUAAUCAGAAAGCAACGGCUAACUACGUG